UGGGAUAUGACUCGCUUCUUCAGUGCCU
rnacentral:piRNA from 1 species